CAAAGUUAAGUUUAUGAUAGAAUAUAAUAAUAGGGUUGUUAUGGAGAGGAAACUUUGA
rnacentral:tRNA from 1 species